rnacentral:lncRNA from 1 species
CUGAAUUUCGUGAGAAAGGGUGAAGUGGGCUGGCCGCAGGCGGCUGCCCUUCCGCAGGCUCCUGUCGAGGGGGCUUGCCGUGCGGCCACGUGGGCGCCUGAGAUGAGCUUCGCUUUAUACGGUGGAGGAGAACUUUCACUGAUCGCUUGCCGGGUACUAUAGAUACACGCAGGUCAUCGUGUUUAUCCAACUGCGGCGAAAGCAAAUAAGUGCCGAGCGGCGUUUGAGCGACUUGCAGAGCUGAAUCCGACCUGCCGCCUUUUCCUUCCUUUCCUUCCUGGCGGGGCUGCUGGGAGAAGAAGGGACGGCGAGAGGCCCGUGGUGGGACUGGCAGCCCGGGAGGUGCCGGCUGUGGAGCCGAGCUGAGCAGGCGAGGCAGCGGAAGAUGCAAGAAAGGAAAAAAAUGUAAAUUAUCUCGAGUAGUUAUUAUAUCGCAGUGCAGAGGGG